GAUGAACGCUGGCGGCGUGCUUAAUACAUGCAAGUCGAGCGAAAGGACGCGGAUUUCACUUUUCUGGAGUUAGCAGCGGAUGAGUGAGUAACACGUGGUUUACCUACCUCUACGACUUGGGUCACUUCGGCUAACUGGAGUUCAUAAUGGAUAAUAUUUUGAACCGGAUGGUUCAAAAGUGAAAGACGGUCUUGCUGUCCUCUAUAGCUGUAACCUUGGUGCAUUGGUUAGUUGGUAAGGUAACGGCUUACCAAGGCGAGGAUGCAUAGCCGAGCUGCGAGGGGGAUGGGCCACUGAGGAACUGGGACACGGUCCAGAGUCCUACGGGAGGCAGAAGCAGGGAAUCGUCCGCACUGGGCGAAAGCCUGACGGAGCGACGCCGCGUGGGUGAUGAAGGUCUGCGGAUCGUAAAACUCUGUUAUGAGUGAAGAACAUAUGUGUAAGUAACUGAGCACAUCUUGACGGUACCUAAUCAGAAAGCCACGGCUAACUACGUG
rnacentral:rRNA from 1 species